UGUAACCUAUCUGAAAGAUUUAUAAAUAUGGGGUGCUUCUUUGCACUCUCUCUUCCGUUUUCAUAGUACUACGUUUCGUUUUAAUUACAGUUUCUUAAAUGAGUUAAAUUCCUGUCCAGAAGCAAAUCGACUUUGUGUAACUGGAUUAACAGCAGUAUCAGUGGACAUAAGGAAGAAUGGUUUUAUCACAUAUAGAGGGUUUUGUAGCUUUCUUGCUCACGACGUUUGUGGUGCUUGCGGUAGCAGUCCUUAUGUAUUGUCCUCUAAUCGGUACGCUGUUUCAAUGGAUAAAUGGCAAUGGAAAUCGUCCACCAAAUGCUGAUGGCAAUAACCGGGAUCCAUCAAGGUCUGAAUCGGAUAAAGAUUCUUCGUCUAAAAAAGAGUAAGGAUUCUCAGUUCUAAGUAAAAUUGCUUUUGAUUGGAUGAAGGCUCUUCUGUCAAGCAAAGCAGAGAUUCUUAAGCUAAUAUGAUGAUCAUUGAACUAAUCAAAUAUUCUGGACCGUAUUAAGACUAUCUUGCUGAAUUGUGUGACUCUUUUGGACAAUCGCAUAAAUAUUCCCGAUCAGUCCGAUUCUGAUCAUUUUGCUGGAUUAUAAAGUAUCGAUCUUCGAUAAAACUGGAGACGAAAACCUGCACUGGAUCUUCCAUUGAAGAACUUGGGAUUUCAAAUGUCAUGGACGCAGUAAAGCGGCUGUGAAUUCGGAAUAUCUUCCGAAGAAACAUUUAAACUUAUGAAACUUCUUUUUAAUAUUUUGCAUAAUUUUAAGCAUUAUUAAUAAUUAUUAUUGAAUUAAAACUAAAUCAAUGCUAA